CCUACAUGACACUUGUCCCCAAAAGUAUGUGGCGCAGCAAGACCUGACAGCAGCAGCGGCUGAGCUCAUCCUGACCAGAACCUGGCACACCCUGCUCAAGCCCCAGUGAUGGUGAUGGUUCAUGAACGUCCAUUGUCACAGCACCUCGGUAUUUCUAGCAAUUUUGGCACCCAACAUGGAGCUCCGUCCAUCACCUAAGGGUCAUGAGGACUCCCUCCUUAGAGGAGAUACAUCCUGCUGCCUUGUUGUGGCCUCGGAGUAGGGGAGGAAACUGUGAUCCCUGAGGCUGACAACAAACCCCAAAUUGAAAGUGGAUCGGCCAUGCAGAGAAAGGACCCAAGCAAGCACCACGUGACAGGUGGCCAGCCAAUCAGAGUGUUGGUUUCCAUAAAAUGUUUCAAGUGCAACGUCCAUUGCUUCUAAGGGUUUUUCUUUGGCAGGAAUAACUGACUUAAAGUGUUAACUAGUCUUGUUCAAUACCUUGGUUUUCAUGGGUAAAUUCGAUUUAACAUAAAUGGGAUUAAUCUUCAUGAAUAUGUUUUGUUAGAGGACACAUCUAUUAACUUGCAAAAUUAAAGUACUAAAACAUCAACUAAGUAUAAAUUCAGGUACUCUUGGCUUCUUGAAUUCCAUAAGGUAACAUAUAUUUGGUUCCAUUACAAAUUGGUAAAAUAAAAUAAAAAGUUCAAGAUUGCAUGUUUUGGAGUCUUAACCUAAAAGCGAGGUUGCCAAGUGUUAAA